ACUCCUACGGGAGGCAGCAGUGAGGAAUAUUGGUCAAUGGAGGCAACUCUGAACCAGCCAUGCCGCGUGCAGGAAGACUGCCCUAUGGGUUGUAAACUGCUUUUAUACAGGAAGAAACAGUCGUACGAGUACGACCUUGACGGUACUGUAAGAAUAAGCACCGGCUAACUCCGUGCCAGCAGCCGCGGUAAUACGGAGGGUGCAAGCGUUAUCCGGAAUCAUUGGGUUUAAAGGGUCCGCAGGCGGUCAAUUAAGUCAGAGGUGAAAUCCCAUAGCUUAACUAUGGAACUGCCUUUGAUACUGGUUGACUUGAGUUAUACGGAAGUAGAUAGAAUAAGUAGUGUAGCGGUGAAAAUGCAUAGAUAUUACUUAGAAUACCGAUUGCGAAGGCAGUCUACUACGUAUAUACUGACGCUCAUGGACGAAAGCGUGGGAGCGAACAGGAUUAGAUACCCUGGUAGACAU
rnacentral:rRNA from 1 species